GAAAGACCCAUUCCCGUACGAUCAGCGAAGUUAAGCAAUAUCUAUCCCGGUGAGUAUUUAGAUGGGUGACCACUUGGAAAUACCAGGUGCUGUAA